UACGUAGGGUGCAAGCGUUGUCCGGAAUUAUUGGGCGUAAAGAGCUCGUAGGCGGUCUGUCGCGUCGGAUGUGAAAAUCCAGGGCUCAACCCUGGACCUGCAUUCGAUACGGGCAGACUAGAGUUCGGCAGGGGAGACUGGAAUUCCUGGUGUAGCGGUGAAAUGCGCAGAUAUCAGGAGGAACACCGGUGGCGAAGGCGGGUCUCUGGGCCGAAACUGACGCUGAGGAGCGAAAGCUAGGGGAGCAAACAGG
rnacentral:rRNA from 1 species